rnacentral:lncRNA from 1 species
AGUACAUUUUUUUAAAAAUCUGCAUUAUGUAUAUCUUGAACUAUACCUAGAGAAGUAUACAUUGGUUGAAAUUUUGAGGUGAACAAAUGUGCCACUGUUCAGAAACAUUCUAAUCACAUUCUCCACUGUUCGAAAUUCCCCAAGGUAUCUAUUUUUGCCUUAAUUUAUAUUCCCUAUGUUAAGAAGGUCAUUUGAGCACAUUUUCAUGUUUGUUAGCUAUUUCUAUUUUUCCCUUGCCUGUUUAGAUCUAGAUUUAUUACAAGAAGUCCAUGAUGGAGACAGCUCAGGAAUGGAAGAGACUCAAGCCCAAAGAUCAGAAGAACCUCUGUCCUGGAAGUCGGUUCUCUUUCCAAUGGAACAGCCUCUGCAAAGUGUACCACACGAUGAGUUAAUAUAUCUCACUUUUAGAAAGAAAGAUACUGAUAUGCCACUGAUGUGGUUUGGAUGUGCGUCCCUCCACCCCCACCCACAGUCCCAUGCUAGAAGUGUCACUCAUAUUCAGCUUUGAAUCAGUGGGGAACCCAUACAGGAAGAUCAUAAUAAAUAUGGAAAAUUCUGAUAAUUUUGUGAUUCCAUGAGAUAAGAAAAGAACUUCCCUCUCCUGGAAAUCUCACUCUGAGGGGAGCCAGCUGACAUAUCUUAGGCCUCCCUGCACCCCUGGGAGAGGCCCACAUGGAGAGGAGCCCACAGCCAAGGAGGCCUUUUGG